rnacentral:rRNA from 1 species
AUACGUAGGGGGCGAGCGUUGUCCGGAAUGAUUGGGCGUAAAGGGCGCGUAGGCGGCGCGGUAAGUCUGGAGUGAAAGUCCUGCUUUCAAGGUGGGAAUUGCUUUGGAUACUGCCGCGCUUGAGUGCAGGAGAGGUUAUCGGAAUUCCCGGUGUAGCGGUGAAAUGCGUAGAGAUCGGGAGGAACACCAGUGGCGAAGGCGGGUAACUGGACUGCAACUGACGCUGAGGCGCGAAAGUGUGGGGAGCAAACAGGAUUAGAUACCCUGGUAGUCCACACUGUAAACGAUGAAUGCUAGGUGUAGGGGGUAUCGACCCCUUCUGUGCCGCAGUCAACACAAUAAGCCUUCCGCCUGGGGAGUACGGCCGCAAGGUUGAAACUCAAAUGAAUUGACGGGG